CUUUUGGGUUCCAGGUAGAACCCCUUGGGUUCCAUGUAGGACUCUCUGUGGAAAGGGUUCUACAUGGAAUCCAAAAGGAUUCUACCUGGAACCAAAAAGGAUUCUUCAAUGGGUUCUGCUAUGGGGACAGUCAAAUGACCCUUUUAGAUUCUAGAUUGCACCUUUUUUUCUAAGACUGUAGUGGUGGUGGUAACUAAUAAUAAUUCAAUUACCCUCAUUAGUGAACGUUCUAGAACAAGUGGAUUCCAACCCACAUAAUACACACAUGUCACUUUUACUCUUCACCCAAACACGGCAAACUUUGACCUCUAAGCCUCUCUGACCAUUGACCCUUCUCUGCCAUGAAACCUGUCUUGAAUUCCACUGAGGGGUUGACUAAGCCUGUAUCCUCCCCUUAGAAGGUAGAGUACCACAGACCUACACUCAGGUCUGUAGCACUGGCUGUCUGAUGGGUGUCUGAUUAAUGUUGGUGAAUCUGCAGCCACCCCUAUAUUCCUCCCCCAGCCCUCAUCCUACACCACCAUACUUCAAGAGGAUAUGUUUACAAACAGUGGGGUAGAGAUACACCAUGUUUAAAAGCAGGUGCCUGGUUAUCUCUGCCUUCAUAUAGCUUCAAAGAGACCCAAAAGGGGCUCAGAGGUGGGACUGUGCCUUAGAUGGUUGGACACAUCACGGGCCUUGGUAUUGCCAAUAAGGAGGAGGGUGCAUAGCACAGUACACCAUACGCAGCUGUAUUAUCUGAGGUGCAUAUUCUGAAAACAAAUUCAAACGUAAAACUGUUAAACACAGAAUACCAGUGGGAAGGAAUUAUACCUUCAUGGUUAAAUUAGCCAUUUCAAAAGCACUAAUGUAAGCUUCCUGCACUGUCAUGUCCCUUUUUUUAUUUUAUGUUUUACCAUUGCACACUUCUUUCCAAUCUCCCCCCCAAAAAGAAUGGGGCUUUGAGUAUUUUUUUCUCCAAAAAAAAGCAUUCCUGUGAAGAUUAAAAUGGAAGGUCCCAGGUGGCGGGUCCCCUGAACCAGCCCUCUAACAGCCUGAGUGACUCCUCAACAGACCCUCUACUACUUUGGCAUCAGCUGCUGAGCGGCAGUAGUAGUGGUAGUGGUAGUGGUAGUGGUAGAGGUAGUGGUAGAGGUAGUGGUAGUGGUAGUGGUAGAGGUCGUGGUAGUGGUGGAGGUAGUGGUAGUGGUAGUGGUAGAGGUAGUGGUAGUGGUAGUGGUAGUGGUAGAGGUAGUGGUAGUGGUAGUGGUAGAGGUAGAGGUAGUGGUAGUGGUAGAGGUAGUGGCAGAGGCAGUGGUAGCGGUAGAGGCAGUGGUAGUGGUAGUGGUAGUGGUAGAGGCAGUGGUAGUUGUAGUGGUAGAGGUAGUGAUAGUGGUAGUGAUAGUAGUAGUGAUAGUGGUAGUGGUAGUGGUAGUGGUAGUGAUUGUGGUAGUGGUAGUGGUAGUAGUGAUAGUGGUAGUGGUAGUGGUAGUGGUAGUGAUAGUAGUAGUGAUAGAGGUAGUGGUAGUGGUAGAGGUAGUGGUAGUGGUAGUGGUAGAGGUAGUGGUAGUGGUAGUGGUAGAGGUAGUGGUAGUGGUAGUGGUAGUGGUAGAGGUAGUGGUAGAGGUAGUGGUAGUGGUAGUGGUAGAGGUAGUGGUAGUGGAAGAGGUAGUGGUAGUGGUAGUGGUAGAGGUAGUGGUAGUGGUAGUGAUUGUGGUAGUGGUAGUGGUAGUAGUGAUAGUGGUAGUGGUAGUGGUAGUGGUAGUAGCUGUACACAUAGCAGGCAGGCUAGGUGCUCUCUGGCUCUGUAGGCUUCGAUCUCUCUACAGGUUACUCAGACUGAUAAUGCAGAGCCUCAGCUGCUCCUGGCCAGAAAGAGAUGCCAUUUACACAGCCAUUUUCUCUGUCUCAGUGUACACACACACAGUGUACACACA
ensembl:lncRNA